rnacentral:tRNA from 1 species
UAUUUAUUAAUCUUAUUAAACUUAAAGUUUAAUUAAUCUUUU